AUUGAACGCUGGCGGCAUGCCUUACACAUGCAAGCCGAACGGCAGCACGGGAGCAAUCCUGGUGGCGAGUGGCGAACGGGUGAGUAAUGCAUCGGAACGUGCCCAGUCGUGGGGGAUAACGCAGCGAAAGCUGUGCUAAUACCGCAUACGAUCUAUGGAUGAAAGCGGGGGACCGUAAGGCCUCGCGCGAUUGGAGCGGCCGAUGUCAGAUUAGGUAGUUGGUGGGGUAAAGGCCUACCAAGCCGACGAUCUGUAGCUGGUCUGAGAGGACGACCAGCCACACUGGGACUGAGACACGGCCCAGACUCCUACGGGAGGCAGCAGUGGGGAAUUUUGGACAAUGGGCGCAAGCCUGAUCCAGCAAUGCCGCGUGCAGGAAGAAGGCCUUCGGGUUGUAAACUGCUUUUGUACGGAACGAAACGGCCUGGGUUAAUACCCUGGGCUAAUGACGGUACCGUAAGAAUAAGCACCGGCUAACUACGUGCCAGCCGCCGCAGUAACAC
rnacentral:rRNA from 1 species